CACCUACGGGAGGCUGCAGUCGAGAAUCUUUCACAAUGGGGGCAACCCUGAUGGAGCGACGCCGCGUGGAGGAUAAGGUCUUCGGAUUGUAAACUCCUGUCAUGCGAGAGUAAGGCCCCGCGUUAACUGCGUGUGGGAUUGACAGUACCGCAAGAGGAAGAGACGGCUAACUCUGUGCCAGCAGCCGCGGUAAUACAGAGGUCUCAAGCGUUGUUCGGAAUUACUGGGCGUAAAGGGUGCGUAGGCUGCGCAGAAAGUCAGAUGUGAAAUCCGGGAGCUCAACUUCCGAAUUGCAUCCGAUACUCCUGUGCUAGAGGACUGGAGAGGAGCUUGGAAUUCUCGGUGUAGCAGUGAAAUGCGUAGAGAUCGAGAGGAACACUAGUGGCGAAGGCUGGGCUCUGGACAGUAUCUGACGCUGAGGCACGAAGGUCAGGGGAGCAAACGGGAUUAGAUACCCCGGUAGUCCUGACAGUAAACGGUGCACGCUUGGUGUGGGAAGUGACCCUUUCCGUGCCGAAGCUAACGCGAU
rnacentral:rRNA from 1 species